UGAGAUGCUGGUAGCCAUGGC
rnacentral:piRNA from 1 species